rnacentral:rRNA from 1 species
AUUGAACGCUGGCGGCAGGCUUAACACAUGCAAGUCGAGCGGUAACAGAGAGAAGCUUGCUUCUCUGCUGACGAGCGGCGGACGGGUGAGUAAUGCCUAGGAAUCUGCCUAGUAGUGGGGGAUAACCUGCCGAAAGGUAAGCUAAUACCGCAUACGUCCUACGGGAGAAAGGAGGGGACCUUCGGGCCUUUCGCUAUUAGAUGAGCCUAGGUCGGAUUAGUUAGUUGGUGAAGUAAGGGCUCACCAAGACCGCGAUCCGUAACUGGUCUGAGAGGAUGAUCAGUCAAACUGGAACGGAGACACGGUCCAGACUCCUACGGGCGGCAGCAGUGGGGAAUAUUGGACAAUGGGGGGAACCCUGAUCCAGCCAUGCCGCGUGUGUGAAGAAGGUCUUAGGAUUGUAAAGCACUUUAAGUUGGGAGGAAGAGCAGUUAACUAAUAUUUGACUGUUUUGACGUUACCGACAGAAUAAGCACCGGCUAACUUCGUGCCAGCCGCCGCUGUAA